UCCUUAGAUGUUCUGGGCCGCACGCGCGCUACACUGAUGCAUGCAACGAGUUCUAUCCUUGGCCGGAAGGCCUGGGUAAUCUGUGAACGUGCAUCGUGAUAGGGAUAGAUUAUUGCAAUUAUUAAUCUUGAACGAGGAAUUCCUAGUAAACGCAAGUCAUCAGCUUGCAUUGAUUACGUCCCUGCCCUUUGUACACACCGCCCGUCGCACCUACCGAUCGAAGGUAAUGAUGAGCCCUCAGGAUUGUGGCCUCGUCGCGUCAGCGUCUUGGCUGCGAGAAUCUGUGCAAAUCCCUACCUUUAGAGGAAGGUGAAGUCGUAACA
rnacentral:rRNA from 1 species